GAGUUUGAUCCUGGCUCAGAACGAACGCUGGCGGCAGGCUUAACACAUGCAAGUCGAGCGCACUCUUCGGAGUGAGCGGCGGACGGGUUAGUAACGCGUGGGAACGUGCCCUUCUCUAAGGAAUAGCCACUGGAAACGGUGAGUAAUACCUUAUACGCCCUUCGGGGGAAAGAUUUAUCGGAGAAGGAUCGGCCCGCGUUAGAUUAGAUAGUUGGUGGGGUAAUGGCCUACCAAGUCUACGAUCUAUAGCUGGUUUUAGAGGAUGAUCAGCAACACUGGGACUGAGACACGGCCCAGACUCCUACGGGAGGCAGCAGUGGGGAAUCUUGGACAAUGGGCGCAAGCCUGAUCCAGCCAUGCCGCGUGAGUGAUGAAGGCCUUAGGGUCGUAAAGCUCUUUCGCCAGAGAUGAUAAUGACAGUAUCUGGUAAAGAAACCCCGGCUAACUCCGUGCCAGCAGCCGCGGUAAUACGGAGGGGGUUAGCGUUGUUCGGAAUUACUGGGCGUAAAGCGCACGUAGGCGGAUCAGAAAGUAUAGGGUGAAAUCCCAGGGCUCAACCCUGGAGCUGCCCUGUAAACUCCUGGUCUUGAGUUCGAGAGAGGUGUGUGGAAUUCCGAGUGUAGAGGUGAAAUUCGUAGAUAUUCGGAGGAACACCAGUGGCGAAGGCGGCUCACUGGCUCGAUACUGACGCUGAGGUGCGAAAGUGUGGGGAGCAAACAGGAUUAGAUACCCUGGUAGUCCACACCGUAAACGAUGAAUGCCAGACGUCAGCAAGCAUGCUUGUUGGUGUCACACCUAACGGAUUAAGCAUUCCGCCUGGGGAGUACGGUCGCAAGAUUAAAACUCAAAGGAAUUGACG
rnacentral:rRNA from 1 species